UUUGUUUUCUAUUAUCUUUAUUCAGUAUUAAUCCUUAUUCAGUAUUAAGUAAUGUUUUCUUGUUUAAAUUUGAUAAUUUGAAGUUAUACUCGGGGCUAAGUUUUACUGGUUAUUUACAGACCACUGUCGAUUUGUAAACUGUUGUGUGCUACUCGAUUGUUUUGGUUUUUGACGUUCCGUCGUGUCGGGUGCGCUCCGCACCACGAGUCUAAAACAAGCAAAUUCUAGUCCUAUAGCCCCUCACAGUGUAAGUUUACUGUAUCAAUAUGUCUUAUAUUAUUCCUUAUAACUUUCUGUAUAGUUAGUUUUUGACCGUAUACUCUGAAAACCCUCACAUGCGUUCCGAAGCUGGAUUCGUACCCAACCUCGUUCAAUUCGUAACUCGUUUCGUACCCUAGGUUAUUUUAUACUAUUACGUGUAAUUUCUAUAAUUUGAUUUGACUAUUAAGAAGUUUCUUUUCUAUGUGAUAUGCUGUAUCCUAAAUAAGAUUUCAGUCAUAUUGUUAAGUGUAUCCUUGUGUAUUUUCAGUUUUUAACCGCAAUAUCUAUGACGAAUAAAUGGUUAAACUAGAUGCGUCGUCUUCCCAUGGAUGCGGUGGCAUUAUAGUUAAAAAACUGUUGGCAAGUGGAGUUUGCAACUGUUUCGAGUAUUGGCAAGUCAUCGCAAGUUCUACUACCUGUAAAUGAAAAGAAUAAGAACGCUUACGCCAAAAGCAAUGGCGCAAUAUGAAGAAAAAGUUGACGCCUACAAAGCUAAGAUCAAGUCGAUGCAAGAUAAUAUAAACGUUUGCAUAGCAAAACAAAUUGAUGAAAGUGAUAUUAAAGUUUUGACAGAAAGGAAAAAGGAACUUUUAGACUUAACAGCAAAGUUUGAAAACAUUUAUGGUGAAUUUGAAGAGUAUUUGACGCGAACUGGCACAGAAGACAGUACAAAACAAUUUACAGAGUUACAUGAACAUGGAAAAGAGAUAAGAAAGGUUAUAACUCAAUUUAUGAACCACAUUGACCACUUGAUUGUAUUGUUUAGCGAAAAAAUGUCUGUUAAAAGUUCGAAGAAAAGUUCAAGUUCUGUGUACAGGAGAAAGAUGGAAUAUGCGGAAAAAGAAUUUCAGUUAUUAAGAGAAAAGGCCGCGAUAGAAGAAAGGUUUCAAAUAGAACAAGCAAGUGAAAUCAGGAAAAGAACAGAGAUUGAAGCUGAGUUAAAUCUGCUUAAAGUCAAACAAGAGAAUGCAGACACAAGUGACUCAAUCAGUGAAACUAGUAUAUCAGAUAAACAGUUACCAGUUCAGUUUGAAAAUCCCAAAGAGAAGGUAGACCGGUACCUUAACAUUGAUCCUGUGACACAUGCACAUGCCACAAGAAGCGAUGUAAACUUUCCCAUGGACAUAACAAAAUUCUUGUUAAAAAAGGACCUUUUAGUUGCAAGGUUGUCUAAUUUCAGAGAUACACCAGAGACAUUCCAAUCUUGGAAAGGUACUUUCAAAUCAGUAAUGAAUGAACUGGACGCAUCACCUGCAGAAGAAACAGAUCUACUUAUCAAAUAUCUUGGUGCGGAAUCAUCCAAAUAUGCCAUAAGCAUCAAAACGGCAAAUGCCCAUGAGCCGAGCUAUGCUAGGGACGAAAUUUGGAUUCGCCUUGAAGAAAUGUAUGGAAGGCCAGAGUUGGUUGAGGUUUCUAUCAAAAAGAAAUUGAAUAGUUUCACAAAAAUAUCAAAAGACUACAAAAGGCUCUACGACCUGUUAGACAUUUUGUGUGAGAUCCAGUAUCUAAAAGCUAAUCCUGUGUACACAAUGAUGUUUUCAUAUUUCGAUUCAUCGUCUGGAGUGAAUCCCAUAGUUUCCAAACUACCAUACAACCUACAGGAUAAAUGGACAAAUAGGGCAUCUCAGUACAAACACAACCACCAAGUUAUGUUUCCACCGUUCAGCUUCUUUGUGAAUUUUGUGAGGGAAAUAAGCAGAACCAAAAACGAUCCAGCCUUCCAAUACAUGUGUGAACAAAAGUCUGAAAUUUCCAAACCAUUUAAAGUAUUUGCAAGAAAAACUGAAGAAGUCCAAUCUCUACCCAAAGAAAAGGAAACCAACACUGAUCAAAAUGCAGCCACCAUAAAACGUUGCCCUAUACACAAUGCACAGCACUCCCUGUUGCAAUGUAGAACAUUUCUUCAAAAAACAUUGGAAGAGAAAAAACGAUUUGUUAGAGAGAAGAACAUUUGUUUCAAGUGUUUAGAUUCAGUUAAACACUACGCAAGGGACUGUCGAGUUGCCGUGAAAUGCUCCAUUUGUGGAAAAGGUCACGUUGCGGCACUUCACGGCGGGGAGACGCAGAACCAACAGGACGUUACAGCAAAGUGCACGACUUUGUGUGGCGAUACACUCAUCGGAAGGUCGUGUAGUAAAACUGUUCUUGUCGACAUAUAUCCAAAAGGACAAUUUGAAAAGGCUGUCAGGGCAUAUGUUAUCAUUGACGAUCAAAGCAACUGUAGCUUGGGUACUGGCGAACUAUUUGAUAAAUUGAGUAUUUAUGGACAGACCACUCCGUACACGUUGUCGUCAUGCAAUGGCCGUGCUACAAAGUUUGGUAGACGCACUAGCGAUAUAUGUGUUAAAUCGAUUGAUGGUUCCACAGAGAUUGAUGUUCCUCGAGUCAUAGAGUGCGAUGAUAUUCCAAACGAACUAUCAGAGAUACCCACUCCAGACGUGGCAAGAGCGUAUAGUCAUCUGAACCACAUUGCGGAUACAAUUCCUAACCUACAGGGAGACUGCAAGGUGCAGCUUCUUAUAGGACGUGAUGUUCCUGAAGCCCACCAUGUUAUGGACCAAGCCAUUGGAUCCCGUGGCACUCCGUUCGCUCAAAAGUUAGCGCUUGGUUGGGUUAUAGCGGGAGAGGUGUGUUCAGGGCGUGUGCACACAAACGAAGAUGUCUCCGUGUACAAGACCUACAUCAUGCCCGAUGGCAGAGGCACACACAUCAAACCAUGCCAAUUCAACCUGAAUAUAAAGGAAAAUCAAGAUCCUGAUUUUCAGUCGCUUGAUGAUACCUUGUUUGUUCGAACAGUUGAUGACGAUACGACUGGACUCUCUGCAGAAGACAAACAGUUUGUAAAACUUAUGGACUCUAAAAUGGAACGUGACCAGAAUGGCUUCUGGACUGCACCUCUUCCGUUCAAGGAUGACAGACCCGAGCUACCUAACAACAGAGCACAGGCGUGGCGCCGAGCUCAAAUCCUAGAUAAUAGCUUGAAGAACAAUUCGGUCAAGAGACAGCAUUUUGUCACCUUUAUGGGCAAGGUCAUCGAUAGCGGAGCUGCUGAAGUUGCACCCUGUGCUAUUCAACAAGAGUGUUGGUAUCUUCCACUAUUUGGCGUCUACAACCCGAAGAAACCUGGGCAGAUAAGAGGUGUAUUCGAUUCGUCGGCAGUCUACCAGAAUAUCUCAUUGAACAGUGUUCUCAUGUCAGGCCCUGACAUGAUAAACAGCCUGCUAGGAAUUCUUCUCAGAUUCCGUAGAGACGAAGUCGCUGUUUCGGCCGAUGUAGAGCAGAUGUUCUAUCGCUUUCGAGUCACUCAUGAGCAUCGUGAUUUCCUUCGUUUUCUGUGGUACAGAGAUAAUGAUCCUGACAAAGAACUCAUUGAAUAUAGAAUGUGUGUUCACGUAUUUGGAAACUGUGCUUCCCCAUCUGUUGCUACAUAUGGUCUACGCAAGGCUGUACAAACUGCUGAAAAAGACAUUCAAAAUCUGGUUAACAAGGACUUUUAUGUAGAUGACUGUUUAACGUCUAAGCCUACUGUUGAUCAAGCAAUAAUUACAGUGAAAAGAACUCAGACAGCUUUACGUGAUGGUGGAAACAUUCGGCUACAUAAAAUUGCAUCAAACAAUGUCGCUGUAAUGCACGCCUUCCCUCAGGAAGACCUUGGAGGUGAUUUAAAAUCACUAGAUCUUAGUGUAGAUCCUCUUCCUGCCCAGCGAAGUCUCGGAUUGGCCUGGGACUUGAAGAAGGACGCCUUCAUCUUCAAUAUCGAAAUGGAAAACAAGCCUUUCACCAGAAGAGGCGUACUUUCCAUGGUGAACAGUAUCUAUGAUCCCCUUGGUUUCAUCGCUCCGAUAACCAUAAGUGGCAAGAUACUACUACGUGAAGCUACACCGUCCGGUGUAGACUGGGAUGCUCCUCUCCCACCAAACCAUGAGAUGAGAUGGCUUGAAUGGAAGCAGUCCUUACAAAACACAGAAACAAUUGCGAUUCCUCGUGCCUACACUACGAUUUCCUUCAGUACAGCAAAGAAGAGUUCAGUGAAUAUCUUCUCAGACGCUUCAGAAGUAGCUAUUGCUGCAGUUUCUUAUUUGAAAGUGACCGACCAAGUUGGUGAAUCCAGUUCUGGGUUUCUGUUAGGAAAAGCGAAGUUAGCCCCUACACAAGGACAUAGUAUUCCUAGGUUGGAACUGUGCGGCGCAGUUUUAGCCACUGAGUUAGCUGUUAUAAUAUCUAAGCAGUUAGACAUACCGAUAGCUUCCAUGACAUUCUUUACUGAUAGCAAAGUGGUGCUAGGAUACAUUUGCAACGAAACUAGGAGGUUCUACACGUAUGUUAGCAAUCGUGUUGAAAGAAUAUUGAAUGUAUCUACACCAGAGCAAUGGCAGUACGUUUCAACGACCCGUAAUCCUGCCGAUUGUGCAACCAGAUGUCGACCAGUUUGCUUAGAUGUUAGCGACAGUAUGUGGAUCAAAGGUCCUCCUCUUCUGAAAGAUCAAGAGCUUCAGAUAGAGGAUAACAUCGAAGAGUCCAAGAACUAUGACCUGAUCAACCCUGAAAAUGACAGUGAGAUUCGACCUGAAGUUCUCACGAGGAAAACAGUGAACGUUGAAUCCAGUAUAACUAGCAAGUUUGAAAAGUUUUCUACUUGGCAGUCUUUGGUGAGAGCAUUCGCGCUCUUGAAAAGGUCGUGUAAAGAUCACAAAAAAGUAGCAAAACCUGAUGUGGUUACGAGUCACAUUGAAGCAGAAAACUUCAUUGUACGUAUAGUUCAAGAGAGCAGUUAUGAAGAGGAAAUUCAGUUAUUGUUAAGCAAGAGAGCUGUACCUGCAAGUAGCAGUCUGUCUACAUUGAGUCCAUUUCUAGACGAGAAAGGUGUCUUGCGUGUUGGUGGCAGAUUAACAAAGGCAGAUGUUCCGUCUAUCAGCAAACAGCCAAUCAUCAUCCCGAAGAAGUCUCACAUAGCUCUUCUUCUUGUGAGACAUUUCCACGAGAAAGUUCAACACCAAGGCAGACUACUUACUGAAUCCACUUUGCGUAACAAUGGCUUCUGGAUUAUUGGUGCGAAGAGACUUAUUUCCAGUACUAUUCAUAAGUGUGUCAUCUGCAAAAGACAGCGUGGUAAAUUUCAAAGUCAAUACAUGUCCGACCUACCUGAAGACAGAGUUACUCCAAGUGCUCCCUUUACAGUGAUUGGCGUAGAUACAUUUGGACCAUGGCACAUUGUUGCCCGCAAGACCAGAGGCGGAUUUGCAGAAAGUAAAAGAUGGGGCAUGCUUUUCACAUGCUUGAGUACUAGGGCAGUGCAUAUUGAAGUUAUUGAAGAGUUAAGCAGUUCAGCUUUCAUAAAUGCAUUUAGAAGAUUUGUAGCCAUAAGAGGACCAGUCAAAGAGGUUCGAUCAGAUCGUGGUACGAAUUUCAUUGGGGCGCUUGAUGAUCUCAAAGCCGAAGGCAUUUGUGUAGAAGAUGGACCUGUAAAGAAAUACCUUCACGACUCGAAGGUAACUUGGAAAUUCAACCCUCCACACUCGUCACACAUGGGAGGAGUGUGGGAGAGAAUCAUUGGACUCACGCGUAGAAUCCUAGACUCUAUGCUCCUGAAGACACACGCGCAAAAGUUGACUCAUGACAUUUUGUGUACAUUCAUGUGUGAAGUGUGUGCGAUUAUCAACUCCCGACCUAUUGCUUCAAUCUCUACGGACCCAGACGAUCCUGAAAUGAUGACCCCGGGAAUGCUGCUAACCCAGAAGAAGGAACCUUUGGAAGGAUUGGACUCAACCCUGAGUAUGAGGGACAUAUACAAAGCGCAAUGGAAGUACGUUCAGGUGAUGGCAAACACUUUCUGGAAACAGUGGCGUAACGGAUACCUUCAAACUUUGCAAACACGGCGAAAGUGGCCAAGUGUUCUAGAAAAUUUGAAAACCGGAGACGUUGUUCUUGUUAAGGAUGUUGAAGAACAUCGAAACCAUUGGCCAUUGGGGAUCGUUGUUCGUGUCUUCCAAAGUGGAAGUGACUCAAACAUUCGUUCAGUGGAAGUACGCAUCGUUAAAGACAAAAAAUGUGUAAAUUAUGUUAGACCAAUCACGGAGUUGGUACUCCUAGUGGAUUGAUGUACUUUCUCAAAAUAAGUCAGUUUAUCUACAUACACAAACAUAAAUGUAAGACAAUUUUGAGUGCUGAUUAGAAUAUGUCUUAUUGUUUUGCAUACAUGCUUUCAUUUGUUAUAAGAUACAUGUAUUGGCUUCAAUAUUGUUUAAAGCAAUAAUUAGGGUUUGCAUCUAUUGUUUUUAAAAGUCAAUAUUUAACUGUCUAAGUCAAUUAUAAUUACUCUCAUAGUAAGAAACUUGAGUAACAUUGUAUUUCUUUAUUUUGUAAAAGUAGGUCAAAUUUUUGUAUUUUCAUAUACACUUGUUAGUGAAGUUUUAUUAAAAUUAACACUAAUGUAGGAACUUUAUAAUUUCAGUUUCUUUACUGAUGCUUUGUAUCUUGGUCAUUUUGUUUUGUUUAAUUAGGGCUUGUACUUUAAGGUGAUUAAGUUCAAAGAUAUAGCUUUUUUGUCUUAAGUUUAAUAUGUGAAUCUCUCUCUCUCUCUAUAUAUAUAUGCUGUUGUAUUAGGUUAAAAUUUUGGUAUUAGAAUACCAGACGGGGAGUGUACUGGAACUGAAGUUCCAUGUUUGUUUUCUAUUAUCUUUAUUCAGUAUUAAUCCUUAUUCAGUAUUAAGUAAUGUUUUCUUGUUUAAAUUUGAUAAUUUGAAGUUAUACUCGGGGCUAAGUUUUACUGGUUAUUUACAGACCACUGUCGAUUUGUAAACUGUUGUGUGCUACUCGAUUGUUUUGGUUUUUGACGUUCCGUCGUGUCGGGUGCGCUCCGCACCACGAGUCUAAAACAAGCAAAUUCUAGUCCUAUAGCCCCUCACAGUUUUUUAACCGCAAUAUCUAUGACGAAUAAAUGGUUAAACUAGAUGCGUCGUCUUCCCAUGGAUGCGGUGGCAUUAUAGUGACGUUGUUGUUGUUGUUGAGUUUAUAAAGGUCUGCCCGCGCCCUAUAAUGGCUGCAUUAUGGCUUGACCCCGUCACAUCCCCAAGUGUGACUUAAACAGAAUUUUGAAGCCAAAAGGGGAGUUUUACCCCCAUCGGUUGAUGGGAUAUUCGUCAAAGGAGUAAUUUUUUACCCAAAAUGCCGCGAAACCUGCGAUGAAUGACAUCUAGGGAGGUCCCACAGCUCUGAAUAUUGGAUAUGGUUUCAUUUCUCCAGUCUUGUAUCUUAAAAAACAUUUACGUGUAAGAAUGGUAUUUUUUUUGAAGGAUGGGAAAGACUCACGGUCAGUUCAUUGACAAGAAAGUGUUGUGAGAACAGGAAUUUUUGCCCACUAUAUGUAUUAAUAUUUCUAAUAUAUAUAUGAACUGACCACUUUGUUGUCGAUGCCCGACUAUUGCCUCACUAUUUACUUAUUGGAAAUUCUUCAAGACCAGAGAGUGCGUUGACAUUACUUUGCCUACAUGUUUUUUAAAUGUACAUGUACAUAUAUAGAGAGGGUUAUUAUGGUUGUUUUUAAAAAUAAUAAUGAUUAAUAAUAUAGGAUUUUUUUUGUUUUUUUGUUUUUGUUUUGUUUUGUUUUUUUGGCCUGCGCCCGAUUUUUUUCCAUUUUAAUAUGUAUGUGCGGGAUAAAAAAAUACAUAGUAUACUUUCUAUAUACAGGUAUGUAGCCCCUGGUCCAGUGCCUUCUCUUUUUUAUCAAUAGGUCGUAACCAUGUAUAUUUUCAAAAUUUCAAUAUCUUUAAGUGAAUGAAUGAAUUAGGGCUAGGAUCAAAAACUGUUUUUCCUAACAAUAAACCUGGACCAGAAGCGUUAUAUUACAACACCAUCACCAUAGCAUGUAAAAUCAUCAUGGACUUCUAAUAGCACUAUGGAUGUAACGGUUUAAAUCGGUAGAAUUGUUAACUCAAAAUGUCUUUAUACAGUUUAUACCGAUAUUGGUUUUCUUUCUUGACAACUUCGCCCGAAAAAUAAUUUGGUUUCGUUUUAGGUUAUGGUGACUUGCAUUUAAUAAUUUAUGGUUAAAUCGAUGUAUAUCAUCAUACUCCUUAAUACCUCAUCCUUUCAUGUGAAAACGAAAGAAGAAAAGAAAUGUUUUGUCACCAUAAUGUAGAUUGAAAGUCAGUAAUUUAUAGCUACUAAAAGUAGUAGAGAUCCAAUUUAUACGCGUUCAUCUCAUAACUCCAGGAAUGAAAUGUUUGUUUACCGGACUUGAUAAUAAUGGAUAGUCGAUUUGGUAUUCAUCGUUCCAAAUAACCUGCUUAAAUCCAUGAAUUCCAUUCGUAUGUUUCGGUAAUUCCAAAAGGUAAAAUAUGUAAAACA